rnacentral:lncRNA from 1 species
GAGCUUUUUUCUCCCUUUUCUCUCUGCCCAUCCCAUUACCGUCCCCAAGCGAAGCGGGAGAACCGAUGGCCGAACCCGUGAAGCAAAGCCGAACGAUCUCGAAUCGGCGAUCCUCCAUUCUGCUGUGGAUUCGAAGGUAAUGCUUUUCUGGCUUUGUCGUCUUCCUUUUUAGGGGAGAAAUAGUGGAUUCGAUGGUUCUGUUGCUUGUGUUGAGGUAAUGACUGCCUUUGUUAUCGGUGUGAUGUUGUUUGUUUGACAUUGGUGAAAUGGGUAUUUCCAGAUUUAUUGGAAGAGGGGAAGAAUCAUUGGCUGUGGUGAUCAUGGAAUGUAGUUGUUUUUUUAAUCGAAUUUAUCUUUUUAUAUUUAAGUUUAAUUCUUUUUAUACGAUAAUGAUAUGUAUUUGCAUUGCAAUAUAUCUUCAUGUAAGUUAGCGGUCGAAAAUAGCAUCAAAUCGAUCUAUUAAUCAACUCAGUUGGUUAGUGCGUCGUUCUAAUAACGCGAAGGUCUCAAGUUUGAGACCUGCGUGGGCUAAAUGAUUUUUUUAUUAUUUUUUAUAUAAGUAUAUUUAACAAAUUCUUUUUUAUUUUAAUUUUUCAGUGUUUCGUUUGCUUAAGCUAUAUAGUAGUAUUAUAUUCAUGAAUUUAUAUUUUUGGUUUCUUCUUUUUUUCAUCGUUUAUUGUGUUUUAGUUUAAUAAUAUUGUUUUUCAUCAUUUAUUUGCUGAAGUUAUAUCACGAAUAUUAUUUUUAAUAAAAAUGUGUUUAAUUGUAUUUUAGCUUAAAUUUUCUGUUCAUUUUAAUCAGUUUUUAAUUAUUAUGAUAUUUUUAUUUGGUUUAUUUAUAAUAUUUUUUAAUAAUAUUUAUAAUACUAUAAUAGAUCAAAAAUAUUAUAACGGAUCAAAGUACGGUAAUAGAUAGAAAUUUUUUUAAGGGAUAAUUUAAGUAUUUUUUUUUAAUUAAAGGCAUUGCUUGAAAAAAAUAAUAUGAGGGUAUUGAUUGAGAAAUAUUUAAAAUAUGAGUAUUUUCAAGAUAAAUCAUCUUAUAUUAUUUUGUUCGCUAUAUAUAUAUUGAACAUUUAUUAAUAUUUAUUGUAUUUGAGCCCUAGAUAUACAAAAACCUGUUUUGUUUGCUGAAGUUGUGUGAAGAAUACUUUUAAUUGAUUAUUUAUUGUAUUUUAGUUUAAAUUAUGAUAAUAAUAAGUAAAGUUAUAUAAAUAAUAUGCUCUUUAAUGAACCUUGAUUUGAUCUAUGUUCAUCGUCUUGUCGAACGAAAAAGGUAAAGAGGUGGUUGAAAUGAGAAAUAUUGAAAGGGGUUUAGAGUCGAACAUGCAGUGUUUGGGUCUCCAAAACCUUAAAAUUUCUUCUCUUGAAUGGCGAUUGAAUGUGACGAAUCCUCAAGAUUUCAAAUAUUAGAUCUUCAUCUUUCUGUAGUUAUUGUGUGUGAGAUUUAGUAUGAAGAAUUAUGAUCAGUCAUCUUCCCAUCUGCAUGGUUUUCAUUUUUAUAUGGAGAAAUGAAGGAAUUGAUGGAUUUGCUGCUUGGUAUUAAUUACGGUUGAUUUUUGUGGAGAUUUCAGUGGGUUUCUUUUUCUAUGUUAAUGAACCUUGAUUGGAUCUUUUUUGGGGCAAAGAAUUGAUCGAAAUGAGCAAUCUUGAAAGGAGAUUUAGUUAAAAUCUUCUCUUGAAUGCUAGGAUUUAAUGUGAGGAAUUGGUGCUAAUUAUAACAAAAAAAACCCUCAAUAUUUCAAGCAUAAAUUCUUCUGGAGCUGUUUCUCCCCAUAUUUAGAAUGAAUAAUUAAAAGAUUAUGAUGAAGAAUGUGAUGGGGAUUUGAUGGGCUCUUGAUAGAACCCCUGCUGACACAGCAACAUGAAAGCAAGUAAUUGAGGGCCAUGAAGGAGCUUACUGCAGAACUGCAAUGAGAGGCCCUUGUGCUGUUGCAGCAGCAGUAAGCUCAAAUAUGCCUGUGGAAAGUGCAACACUGAAGUGAGAGAUCAGGAGAAGAGAUGAAAGUAGAUGUUAUAAAGAAAGAGAAUAUCUAUUGAUGGGAAUUUGACCUAUGAUACCAAGGAAUUAGUGAUGAGUAUCUUUUGAUCCCAUUCCUACCGUAAGUUGGAGGGGAUUAACUUGUCAUAUGUUGUUUUGUUGGACAGAGAAUGGUGUAUGGUAUGUCCGGUGCCAUAUGAGUCAAAAAAAAAAAUUUAUAAAGAGAGUUUUGUGUUUUGCAUUUUCGAAUUUUUUUUCAAUUGAGAAUUUAAUGAAAUUCUUGACAUCCACUGCUUAUUUUUUUUGUUCAAUAUAGGCAUUAAUAAAUUAUUAAAUUGGCCUAUUAGCUCAGUUGGUUAGAGCGUCGUGCUAAUAACGCGAAGGUCGCAGGUUCGAGACCUGCAUGGGCCAUGCUUAUGAUUAUUUUUAUUUUUUAAAAUCAUUUAAUUAUAUUUAAACUUAAAAUAUAGAACAAAUAUUUUUUUUGUUAUGUGUAAUAAAGUAUAAACGGGUAUUAUGGUAAAUAAAAAUUAUUUUAAUCUCUAAUCAUUUAUCAUAUGUUAGUUCGAAAUAUAUAAAAAUAGUUUUUUAAAUAUUAUUUUGUUUGCCAAUGUAAUAAAAAUACAAAAGGUAUUACGACAAAAAAAAUUAAUUUUUAACUAAUGUCAUAAAUAUUAUUUAAAAAUAUUUUAACCAAUGUGUAAUAAAAAUAUUUAAAAUAAUAUCUUAAAUAUUAUUUAGUUUGCCAAUGUCAUAAGAUAUAAAAGGUAUUCCGAUAAAUAGAAAUUAUUUUAAUUCUUAACCAUUUAUCUUUCAUAAUUUCAAAUAUAUAAAAAUACUUUUUUAAUUUUUUCAUUAUUUAUUUUAUUUUAGGUUAAAUAUGAAUUACAUUUAGUUUCACAAAUAAGUCAACCAGGAUUUGUUGAUUUGUUAAACUUUAGUUUUUUUCAUCAUUUAAUGUAGUUAACUUAAAAUAUUGGAAAAUAUUAUUUUGUUUGCUGGUGUCAUAAGAUGUAAAAAAGCUACUAUGAUAAAUAAAAUAGAUUAAGUUUUAACUACUUAAUGUAUCUUUUUAAAAUAUAUAAAAAUCUUUUAAUAUUUUUUUAUUGUAUAUUUUAUUUUAGCUUAAAUAUGAAGCGCUCAUAAUUUCACAAAUAGUCGAUGAGGAUUCUUUACUUUUAUUUUUUUGAACAUUUAUUGUAUUUUAGCUUUUUACCCUUUGUCUGGAAAUAUGGUUUAGUCAUAGGCUAUAUAGCAUUAUGCUGUGGUAGGCACAAGGUAGUGCUUUUCAAUUUGACAAUCUAACCUACAUGUCCUCUCAUUCAGUGCCAAAAAGAUGUCUUCUCUAUGAUGUCUUCUUAGUGUCUGGCACUUUCUUAUAAUUUUUUUAAUCCUUUAAAUGAGUUAAUAUUUAGAUAACUGCCAAUCUUUUUCUCUUUUCUGUUAUUGCCCUAUUCUGAGUACCUUCAUGAUGCAAUAUAUGGUUGUCUUCUUUCCUUCUUCAUUUAUGGUAUUAAUUACCUUAUGUGUACCCUUGAACUUUUUAUUGCAUUCUUCAUCAUCUAACAAAAGGAAUCACAUGAUCUUGGGAAAUGCUGUAAUAUGCUUUUUGGCAGUUAUUUACCUUGGGAAUAGAAUCUGCUAACAGUUCUUAUUUCUUUGUCUGUGCUGAUGAGUCCUACACAUACAAAUACCAUGGAUAUGAUAUGAUAAAAACAUCAAUGAAGCUUGGGAAGGUGCUAAAUAAGCAAGGGAUUUCUUCAUUUGCUGAAAAGUUAGUUGACUUAGAAGAGUUGUGCUAAUAGGUAUGCUUUCUGUCCAAAUUUAUUUCUGAGUGUUUCAAAUCUUUUGACAAUUCUUUCAAAUCGACACUAACCUAGAACAUUAUCAUUUUGUCAUGGAAGGACUGAGAAAGAAGCCAGGUUGCUGAAAAGUACUGUUAGCAGGAAUUAAUGACGUAAAUUAAGAAAAGUAAGCAGGUUGUGGAAAAGGAAGAAAAGCAAAUGGGUCUUGAGCUUGAAAAGGAGAAAUUAGUGUCAGUAUUUUCUUUAGCAUGGAUUGGCAUGAUCAUGAACUAUACACGUUUGAAUAACUUGCUGUCUUGGAUCUGAAGAACAGAAACAUAGCUUAAUUCCGGAAAUUUUCAUAGAAGAUUUUUUAUUGGUUAAUCAUUAAUCCCAAAAAAACCUUAAACCCUUAGGAAAAUAUUUGGUGAAUAAUUUAAAUAAAAUAUUGAGUGAAAUAGGGUUUAAUAUCGUGAAAGAAAAUUUGAGAAAAGUAUUUGACUUCAAAUUCUCGAACUCAUCUCUUUCUAAUGAGAAGGGAAUUUACAAAUUUUUGAUUGGUUGAAAUAAGGAUCCUAAUUCAUUAGUAUCAAAAGCUUACUCAUAGGAAAGGAUUGGGUGAAAUAUUUUUAAUUAAAUAUUGGGUGAAAUAAGGAUCCUAAUUCAUGAUGUGUUCUGAUAUUAUGAAAGAAGACUUUGAGAAAGGAUUCAACAUAUUUAUUAGCUUUGGGUGAAAUAUUUUUAAUUAAAUAUCAUUGUGAAAUAAGGACUGUAAUUCAUCAUCUAUUCUAAUAUAUGAAAGAAGACUUAGGAGAAUUUGGAUAUGAAUGUAUUCAAAUCCUCGAAUUCUUCUCUUUCAUAUGAGAUUUGAGUUUGCAGCAGAAAGCUUCUUCUGUUGAGGUAGGGAGAAAGUGCAAUGCUGAAGUUAAAGAUGAAGUAGAUGUUGACAGAUGUGAAUUAUGAUAACAAGGAACUGCUGGUAGUGAAAUAGUGCCAAUGGGGACUUGAUGUAAGAAUGUGAAGGUUUGUGGUCUUAGGUUGGGACUAUAAUGAUGGCUCAUGCCAUUUAUUUGUUGCAAGAAAAUAAUGUUCCAUUGCUAAGUGUUUGCAUGAAAUUUAUGAUAAGUUGAGGGUGUCACCUUGUCAUCUCUGCUUGGUAUUAUUGUGCGCUUUGUUGGAUAUAGAAUUGUGUAUGGCAUUUCCAUUGGAGAUUUAUCUAAUUUAUUUGCCUAAAGUUCCUUUUAUGAAAAUUAAAUAUAUUUGUCCAAGAGCUUGUCUUCUAAUUAUUUGAAAAUUUCAAAUAAAUUUUCAACUGGCCUAUUAGCUCAGUUGGUUAGAGCGUCGUGCUAAUAACGCGAAGGUCGCAGGUUCGAGACCUGCAUGGGCCAUAUAUAUAUAUAUAUAUAUAUAUAUAUAUAUAUAUAAUGUUUUAUUAAAAAUUUAUUUAGAGUACUUUUUUAUUAUUCAUUACAUAUUUAGGUUAAAUAUAAAAUAUUAUUUUAUUUAUUAAAAGUGCACCAUAAAAUUUGAAAAAUUUUAUUUAUAUUAUUUUAUUUUUCGUCAUCUAUAUUAUUUUUGUUUGCUAAAGUGCAUUUUUUUCUAAUGAAAUGUCAUCGUUUGUUGUAAUUUAUCUUAUUUUCUUUUAAAAGAAUUAUUAGCUUGUUCACAUGGACCAUAAAGUAUAGAAAAAAUAUCAUUUAGUGAACAUUUAUUUUCUUUUAUUUUUUUGCAUCAUGUACCAUAUUAUAAAAAAUUAUUUAGAGCACUUUCUUGUUAUUCAUUACAUACUUUUUUUUAAUUAAAAAAAUAUUAUUUUAUUUAUUAAAGUGCACCAUAAAAUUUGAAAAUUUUAUUUAUAUUAUAUUAUUUUUUCAUCAUCUAUAUUAUUUUUGUUUGCUAAAGUGCAUUUUUUUUUCUAAUGAAAUGUAAUCAUUUAGUGAAAAUUUAUUUUCUUUUAAAUUUUUUUUGCAUUAUGUUAUCGUAUUUUAUCUUACACUUUAUGAAAAAAAAUAUUAUUUUGUUCAUGAAGUGCUGUACCUAAUUCUACCAAUUGUCCAACAAAGAGUUGGUGUAUGGAAAAUUGGUAUCUUUGUCACUCUUCAAACUAUUCUAUAUAUUUAAAAUGAUCAUCCUAUCCAUCACAUCCAAAAUGUACUGUUCCACAAGGAUUGAAUAAAAGGUCAUCCUAUCUAUCACACCCAACAUUUACUGUUCCACAAGUAUUGAAUAAAAGACAUGUUCCAAUCAUUGUUCUUCUUUAUUCAAUAUUAUUUUGUUCAUCUAUGAGACAUGAUUUUAAAUUAUGUUCUUAUUACUUUCACCUCAUGUAUGUAUAUGAUUGGGAUUUAAUUUUUGAACAAAGGGUUUUAUGUUUUGAUAUAAUUUUAAAAUUUUUUAUUAGUGUUAAUCUUUAAAUGAGAAAUAAUCUUAAUUUAUAUUCUUAAAAAAAUGUAAAAGAAAAUCAAUAUAAACAAGGUUUGUAAAUAGAAAGAUAGAAGGAUGGAUUAGAGGAAUCGGUUCAAUAGAUAAGCACUAUAAGCAUAUAGUUCCAGAAGUAAUAAUUCCAACACAUACAUCCAAGUAAAAUAGUAGAGUAGAGCAUCAUAUAUGGUGUGGUAGAAUGGGAACCAUUCUCCCUUUCCUUAUACUUGAAAUGGCCAUGGCCAGUUCUUGAGCUCCUCCUCACCGCCGACCUUGGAGCUACGCCUCGCCGGGUCGCCACUCUCGACGUGGGCGUGGUACCGCAGCGCGAAGGCGAGGGUGAGUGCAACCCACUCGAGGCAGAAGACGGCGAGGCCGAGGCUGCCGACCAUCUUGAGGAUGACCUCGCCAUCCUCCUCACGAACGUAGGAGCGGAGCUCGGCGAGGAAGUCGGGGGCGCGGGUGAGGGCGAGGAGGGCGACGGCUCCCUGGAAGAUGGCGGCGAGGACGGUGGAGGCCAUGUGGGCGGCGUGCCAGCGGGGGGUGGAGGCGGGGGUGGUGGCGCAGGCGGAGGCGGCGGCGACGGCGGUGAGAGCGUGGAGGGCGAUGAGCAGGAGGCCGCAGGCGGAGGGGAGGAGGCGGAGGGAGAGGGUGAGGAAGACGCAGCUGGUGGCGGCGCCCAGGAGGGUGUAGUUGCAGAAGAGGAAAGCCUUGUGGGUGUGGCAGUAGUGAGAAGAAGCGGCGGAGAGUCCACCCAUUUUGCGGAUGAGAUGAGAUGUGAGAGAGAGAGAGAGAGAGAGAGAGAGAGAGAGAGAGAGAGAGAGAGCAGAUGGAUGGGGGGAGAAGGAGAAGGUGGUGGCAUUUUGAAGGAGCUAAAAAUUCGAACGUUGGGAGCCAGCGAAGAGCGUUGAAGGGACUACGAGCCGUUUAACAGUAAGAAAGAAGACAUGUGCGUGAUCGCGUGGAGAGCCGUUGGGUUUUGGAUUAAAAAUAUUCGGCAAUAUUUCAUAUAUAUAUAUAUAUAUAUAUAUAUAUAUAUAUAUAUAUAUAUAUAUAUAAUGUUAUAUUUGACGGGCGUUGCACAUGGGGCGACAUGACAUUCUCCGGUUGGACCGAGGAAGGUAUGAAUUCUUUUUUUUUUGGCUUUAACUAUUUUUGCUUCAUAGAGAAGUGCUGAUACACAUCUUAGUUUUCAUCUUUCUAAUGUUAUUUCUUUUCAUUAUCUUCUUACAUAUACACAUCUUUUCUGUUUUCAUCUUUCUUAUAUUAUUUCUUUACAUAAUCUUCUUUCUUUGUUGGUGCUGAAGAUUCUUUACAAUCAUAAUCAAAGAAGAAAUUGCUACCGAUUGCUUUUUGGAACGAUUUUUUUUUAUUAAAUUACCUAAAAAUACAUCUUACGACAACAUAUCAUGCUUUCAGGUAUUCCAAUCUUUCUUUCCAAUUUUAAUCUUCUCUUGUUAGAUUUCUUAAUUGGAAUAUUUUUAUUUGAUUUUGUUCUAACAAUUUGUAGGAGCAAAUACAUUAUAUUCAAACUUGAACCUCAAUAGUUGGAUUUUUUUUUUUUUUUUUGAGGUUGUGACUUCAUUAGGACCUAUUUGGUUCUACAGGGUUUAUCAAUCUCCCCUACUAUUCAAAUACUACAAAUAUAUUAAUCUCCUUAUCAUAUUAUUAAAUUAUAUAAUUAUAUCUAAUUAGGUAAGAUAUAUUAUGAAUAUAAUUAAAUUUUGAUUACGGUUAUCGAUCAAUAGGAUGUAAAUCUAAUUAUGAUAGAAUUCAUUAUGUUUGAUGAAUACGUGACAUGAUUAAGAGAUUACAAAUCUGCACUUAUCUUUCUUUAGUUAUAUGAACCAAUUAAUAAGAUAUUACAGUUCUUUUUUUUUUUUUUUUUGUCACUAAAUUCAUUGCUCAUAGCGAUUUUAUAAAUGAUAGGAAGAGAGGAGAAGAUGAGUCUAAUUCUCCAUAUAGAUCAACAUCGCUAUAGCUUUCAGAUUUAAUGACGAUAUGCUCGCAGAUCAGAUAAAAGCUUUCUGAAUGACAUCAAAAGAUAUGUAUCAUAAACCUUAUAUAUAUAUGAUUUUAGAUUUUGACAUUAAAAUUUUUCACAUAAUAAUAGUCUUUAUGCUUAUAAUUGAUAUCAGAGCUAUGGUUGUAAACUUAAAUACUUUAGGUCUAUUUGAUAGUAUAUUUCACUCGUGAAAGGUGAUAAUCAUUUUUUAUUUAUGAUGCAUGAAUGAUUGGUUUGUAUUGUCGAUUUAUGUUUUUAUCCAAUCUAUCAUAUUACUUGCUAGUGAUAUAAGGUUCCUCGUGCUUGAUUGGUGGACCACUAUUGACAGCUUACUGUCGACAAUAGUAUUAUUUAGGGUGGCGACCUCCGAUGGUCGCUAGCCCAAUCGCGAGCAAUAAUUGUGUACACAACACUAUGUGGUGCAGUAGCCCUACGAUGGCUAUAGUACCAUCGCUACCUUUGAUAGCUGUGGUGGUUGUGCACUAUCGUUAUAUGCGGUGGCUACACCAAUACCAUCAUUGCUUGCAUCGGUUGUGGAAGUUGCAACAAUGUUGUUACGACGACAUUUGCUAGCCGUGGCCAAUGUCACUAGAUGUCGAAGAUCAAUGGGGUCAUUGGACAAUGUGUGUGCACGGUCGCACUAUAACUACCUUGGGCGAAGUGGCUGUUGUGCACGGUGGUGACGACCAUGCCUUGUGCAGCGAUUGUGGACAAUGGUUGCGACACCUCAAGUAAGCAACAGUUGUGUUCUCAAUUAUAAAAUUGAUUAAUUUAAUUUAAUUUAAUCAAAUAUUUUGAUCAAACUUAAUAAUUACUACAUUUUGAUUGCUUGAUUGGAUUUAUAUUCGAUUAAUUAAGUCUAGAUCAAAUUCGAAAAAAGUCAAAAUUUGAUUUAUUUUUUUUAUUUUGAUUGAUUUUAAUUUUGAUGGGCUUAAUUAGGCAAAUGGUUGCCCACAUCCAUGAGCCCAAUUUGGGUUACCUAAUUGUAGGCAUGUCCAAUUAAAUAAGGUUGAUUGGUCUAAUUUAAGGUUUUAUACGAAAUUAAAAAUAUAUAUAAAUUAUGAUUUUCUUUAAUAGUUUUCUCAUAUGACAUAAUGAUAAAAUUUUAUAUGUGAUAAAUAAAAAAUUAGUUAUUGUUCUUAUAUAUUUAUUUGGUUAUUCACAUGCAUAUAUUUAAAAUUAUAAAAUAAUAUUUAUUUUUUUAAUAAAAAUAUGAUUUAUGAUUUAUCAUGAUUACAAUUAUGAGUUUUUCUUUAUAAUAAUUAAUAUUUGAUAAUUAUUAUGAUUAUUAUUUUAUUAUUGAACCUUUUUGGUAUAAAUUAUAUUAAAAAAAUUUGAUGAAUACUAUUUGUAACUUAUAUCUCUAAGUUUUAUCUUUUACGUACUAGGUGACUUGGAAUGAUAUAUGCUUAUUGAGAUAAAAUAUAAUUUCAUACACUCCAUGAGAUUAUAUAUUCUUAUACUUGUGAGUCACUUUGUGUUUUUAUUUUUGUAAAAAGAGACAUUCUAUUACCUUUAUAGAUAACAUAUUAAAAUAUGAUUAUAUAUAUUUAAUUCAUGUAAGGUCUCAAAUUAUUAAUACAAGUAUACAUAAAUGAAGUCGAGAGAUAAUUAGAUACGAAAAGUCAAAAUUAUCAAACAUGAUAGGAGAGAUAAAUUUUAUGACAGUUAUAAUAAAUCCAAUCAUAAUUCUAAUUCUUUUGUUAGAUUUUUUAAAAAGUAGGAUAUUUGUACUAGUAUGAUUUAUGAUAUGUGCCACAACAUAAUAGGAUUACUGAAAGGUAAAAUCGUACUCUUAUGGAUAUGGUUAGGAGUUUGAUGGAUUAUUUUUUGUACUCGAAUCAAUAUAAGGAUAAGCUCUAAGGAUAAUUAUGUAUACCUUGAAUAAGAUUCUUAAUAAAUCAAUUUCAUCUUCUUUUGAGUUAUGGAUUGAUAGAAAAUCUAAUUUAAGAUAUUUACAUAUUUAGGAUUGUCCUAUAGGGUCUUCAAUUAACAUAAAAAGAAAUUAUAUUUAAGGACUAUUUAUGAAUAUUUUAUAAUUUAUCUAAAAAAAUUCAAAGGGUUACAUAUUUUAUUAACCUAAUCAUAGUUCGUAGAUAAUUAAAUUUGAUAACCGAAGAUUCUUAGAAAAUAAUGAAUUAGUGAAAGUGAAAAUCUCAAAUUUUAAUCUUGAUAUUGAGGAGAUAUAGGUUGAUAAUCCUUUAUCAUUCAAGAUAUUAUUACUACUCAAAUUAUUAGAUGAUUUGAUAAAGAUAAUCAAUAAAAUAAUAUUAAUAAACUCUCAUAUAAUAUUAAUAUUGCUACUAAUGAUUUUAUAAAAUAAUCACAGUUGAUAAUUUUAAAAAUAUCUCAAAGAAAAGAAAAAAUUAUCAAUUUUUAUUAUUAUAUAGUAUAUCUAUAAGAAUUAGAUUAUAAUAUAAGAAUCAAAAGCAUUCCUCAUUAUUUUCAUAAGUUAUUAAAAGUAACAAUUCUGAAAAGUGAUAUGAUGUAAUAAAAAAAUUAAAAUAAAUUAUUAGAAUAGUAUUUGAGAACUCAUCGACUUGCCCAAUAACUAUAAAAAAGUCUAUUAUAUAAACACUACUUAAAGGGUAAUAUCAAACGAUAUAACAAUCGGACUUAUGGUCAAAUGUUUUACUCAUGCAUCCAUUUUUAUGAGAUUUUUCUAGUUUUCUUAAAUGAACUCGUUAAAAAUCGUUAUAACAUUACUAACAUUAUGGUUUUGAGUUAUAUUAUAAGAAUAUAAAAAUAAGUUUUCUAAUUGGGGAUCUAGAUUUAUAUGAGUUAAUCUAAACAAUUCAUAGAGAAAAUAAAAAAUAAUAAUUUGGUAAGCAUAUUUAAACAAUCUAUUAAUGAUCUUAAACAAGCUAGUAGAUAAUAAUAUAUAAAAUUUCUUGAUAUUAUUACUUCAUAUUUAAGAUAUUUAUAUCUAAAAUUCAACAGGAGCAAGUUUAUUAUAUUGGUCUUAUAUAUAGAUAAUAUUUUACUUACCAACAAUGAUCUUAGUUUAUUAUACUGAAUCAAGAAAUUUUUUACUGAGAAUUUUAAGAUGAAUGAGAAUAAGACAUAUUAUGUUAUUGGUAUUAAAAUAUUUAAAGAUAAAUCUUAAGAAUUGUUAGGACUAUCUUAUAAAUAAUAUAUUGAUCAAGUCUUAUAGAGAUUUAGUAUAUAACAUUAUUCGAAAAAAUGUUGCAGCUAAAAAAAUUUAAUCAAAAUAAUUUUUUUUAAAUAACUUAGAAAAGAAUUAAAUAAAAAAAUAUUCUUUAUGUAUGCAUAGUUGAAAGUCUAUUACACGCUCAAGUAUAUGUGUGAUCAAAUAUUAAUUUUUAAUUAAGACAUUGGAUAGAUAUUAGAGUUAUCUAAGAAAGAAAAUACUGAAGAUCAUAGAGAAUGUAAUAAGAUAUUUGGAAUAGCCGAAUGAUUAUAUACUCACAUAUAUAAAAUUAGUGAAACUUGAAAUAAUAGUAUUUUUUAGGUAUUAAUUUUAUAAAUUACCUCGAUAAUAAAAAGUCUAUUUUAAAAUUUUAUAGUUAUAUUCUAUAUUAAUAAUAGAAACUGAUUUUGUGACUGAGGUCACUAAUCAAGCCUUAUAACUAUAAAAUUUUAUUCGAAGACUUGAGGUAGUCAAACUCAAUUAUUAAAUAUCUGAAAAUACUUUGUGAUAUAUCGUAGUAGCUUUCUUAUUUAUGAAUGACAAAUACUAUUAUAGCUUUAUGCAUUAUUAUAUAAGGUAUUUAAUAAUUGGAGAAAAAGAGUCUAGAGGUAAUUAAUGUCAAUUAAAAACUUGAGUUUCACUAUAUUGAUUGCAGAUCCAUGAAAGAAUAUGUUUUUAUGAUUGGAUUUGUGAGUAACCCAUAUAAGAUAUGGACUAUAUUGAUUGUAGAUCCAUUCAUAAUAGAAUAUGUUCUUAUGAUUGGAUUUGUGAGUAACCCAUAUAAAAUAUGGACUAUAUUGAUUGUAGAUCCAUUCAUGAAAGAAUAUGUUCUUAUGAUUGGAUUUGUGAGUAACCUAUUGUGAUGUAUGAUUGAAUGAAUAUUAUAACUGAUAUUCUUAUUUAUGUACUUAAAAUUAUUAUAUAUAUUAUGGUUGAAUGUGAUAACAGAAUUGUCUUGACAAGACAAAUUACAAGAGUCAUUUUGAACUAUAUUAAGGACUAAUAGUGUUGUAGUACAUAGAAGGAAGUAUGACCUUGAUGAUAUACAACUAUUAUAACAUACAUUACUAAUCAAACUUAAUGAAAUAUUAUUAUAUUUAUUAUACUAAUUAAUUUUUUUUAUUAAAUUCACAUGCGUAUAAAUGAUUUUUAAAAUUUAAAAUCUAAUUAGAUAAAAUUAUUUUUUAUAAUAAAUAUUAUUUUAUUUAUUUUUGAUUUUAAACCCUUUGUAUCUUACCAAUUAAUGAUUAAUUAGAAAAUAUUAGAUUAUAUGAUCCUAUCUAAUUAUAUAAGAUAUAUUAUGAAUAUGAUUGGAUUAUGAUUAUAGUUAUCGAAUAAUAAAAAAAAUAAUUAUGAUAAAAUUUCUGAAAAGACGAUCUUAAUAGAAGGGAUUCUCAUAAUUACUUAUCCUAAAUCCUCUGCUCUCGUCUAUAAAAAAAAAAUAAGACCUUCUAAAAACAACACAAAUAUUUGGAUUCGUAAAUGCAUGAAUAAAUAAGGAUAAAUGAAUACGUGAUGAUUGAAAAAUUAUAAAUCUUCCUAUAUCUCCUUUUAAUCACAUGAAUAAGUUAAUGAGAUAUUACAAAUCUUCUCUCCCUUUCAUCUCUAAAUAUAUUGCUCAUAACGAUCUUGUGAAGGAUAAAUAAAAAAAAAAAUUUACAUAUCGAUAUCACUAUAACUUUCUAAUCCGACGAUAAUACACCAGUAGAUUAGAUAAAAACUUUUUAAAUGAUAUUAAAAAAUACACAUCAUAAAUUUAAAUAUUUUAUUAUUUAAUUUCAAAUUUUGAUAUUAAAAUUUUUCAUAUAAUAAUAACAUAAUCUUUAGGCUUACACUCAUUCCAAAUAAAAUAAAAUAAACACAAUGCACCAAAACAAACAACAAAGAUACUACUCAUAGCCCUGACUUACUAUUACACGAACAAUUAUGGCUUAAUAUUUUUAAUUACCAUUUAAAAGUUUCCAAACUGCAACUUGACAAAAUCUAAUCCAAGUUGACCUAACCAUCAAUUGGAUCCAAUCUGUGCUUUUACAUGUGGGAUGAGCCAAUGCUUCAAAUCUCAAACUUUCUUGUAGUACUUUGUAUGUGUUAUAAGUAGAUGGUCUAUCAACAAUACUAGUAACCUUUUCUGGCUGCAAAUGCUAUACACCCAAAUACCAACAUGAGAUGAUUUAAUUUACACAUAUAAAUACAAAGAUAUAUUUAGUGUACUGAUACAGCAACAAACUCCACCCCAUCUAAGAGAUCAUAAAAGAGAAAAGAGGGAAAUAACAAAAACAUUAUUUUAUAAAUGAGGUAACUUGACAACAAAUAAGGGUGGAGUAAGCAUCUGGAAGAAGCAUAAAGCUCAAAGUACAUUCAAAUGACAUGCAACCCCUCAUCCGUUAUUAGAACUCUGCCUUCAGAAGCUUUGAUCUAGGUCUAAUGGUGAUGUAAUCAGAAGGCCUCUCUUGUUCAACUUGAAUAAAAUCCUUUGAUUUCAGGACCUGGAAAGAUGGACAUUCACAUCAAAGAAAAGAGAGACACAUGAAGAGAGAGAAUACUUAACUUAUUAGAAGGAUGGUCUCAUUCCAUGAAUCUUGGCAUGAUUAACUGGAAGCUCAUAGUUGCAUUGUUAUUGUAACUAGUUUGUAUGUUUCAUUGCCAGAGCAGCCCUAAUGUUUCGUGAUGUUUCAGCCUUUCUCAUUAUUUCUCUGAUUAAUCAUCCAUAAUUAAGAGACAAUGAUGUCUUAAAGUCUGUAAUCCUAUGCUAAUUUAACCCGAGUAACCAUUAAAGUGGUAAGGCUUGCUUCAUGAUGACAGAUACUAAACACAUAAGCAUUCGCACUUCUAACCAUUUGCUUUGGCAAAAAAUCAUUCAAACAUAAUAGGCCAAUUUGCAUUCAAAAUGUCAGAAAGACGAGGAGAGGGGAUUAGCAUACCAAGGUUUCAAAGAACAUUCUUGAUGCUUCUUUGCGAGUUUUGCCUGCUAUAAGCUGGUCCAUAGCAACAGAUUUUCUCCCACGCCCAAAUUCUUCAUCAAACAAAAUUUUCAGGUACCGUGCUACACCUCUGUAACAUCCACACCAAUAAUUUUCUCCCUUUAGAAAAUCACUGCCAAUGUAACUAAACACAAAAAAAAUGUUGACCAAAGAUUUACCUUGUCCUUGAAGACCAACCACUGUUUUCGAGUGAUCCACCUUCAGCAUUGGGCACAUAGUCAUCUCCUUCAUGGUAAUCGAUUUCAUCAUCUACAUUAAGAAACUCUAAUACAAAGGUAGAUAAAAUAAGGUUAGAUAGAUGCAGAUAAAUUUAUGAAUAAUCUCCACUGUAGUCAGCUUGGGCACAAUUAACUAUCUUCUUAGAAAUAUGUGCACAAAUUUGAAUAGUGAAUCAGUACACUGCAUAAAAGAUGUCAAUCCAGCUCUUUGUAGACCAUAAAACUCACACAACAUAAAUUAUAUAAGAAAAAUGCAAUUUUCAAAGUUCAUGCCUAUGUUUCAGAUGACUCGAAAGUCACUGUAGCCCUCAUAUUGCUGGAAAUACUUGUUUAUAAUGCAGUAUAUAUGGUAGGUAAUCUCCUACACAAUUCACUUCCUCUCAAGCCAAGGAUGUGUAUCAUUGAAGUGUCGUCAGACUUCUAUAGACGAAACCUCAGAUACCUCUCACUGGUCAUACAGACACCAAUUUGAGGUCAGAAAGGCUGAUUGCUACUGCUACAAGUCUGUAACUUCCAAAAAAUGAAAAAGACAUAUCUCUAUAUCAGCCACUACAAAACUCAAUAAAUUUAUGGAUCCUUAAACCUGAAGCAUACAAUAUUUCAUGAUAUCAUGGGAUGUUACUAAGGGGAAUAGACAUAAAGUCAUGAUCAUAGAUCAGCGAAAAGGCUGUAGGACCACUUGCAGGUUGCAUGCAAUAGGAUGCUUGCAUACCAAAGUCAGUAGGCUUCAGUAUCAUCCUCUAAUCAGAACAAAAUUCUAAAACUACAUUGGAUCACAUCUCGAUCCAAGCAGGAGACUUUAAAGAAUAUAGAUCAACGAAAUAAGGCAAUCAGUUUUAAGGGAAAAUCCAAAAUAACUGCAAGACUUGGUUAUCUGUGAUUAUGGUUAAGGAAAACAAAAAGGACUGAUUCUGCAUUUAUCAAGUGUAGCUCUCAUAAAUGGUGCAGAGGAUUUAACAUUAUCUGAUAUAAUAUUCAAAAUCACAAUAUCCAAAACUGAUAGAUGUUGCACUAACAGAAAUUAAAUAGAAAACUACCUGUAUCAUUACCAUCAAUUGUGCUGCAAAAGUCCUGGACAAAAGUAGAAAAUCAAUUAACAGAAAAAAAAUAAACAGAAGAUUUGGGAGCACUAUUGAUGGCACAUUUUGUUGUCACUAAAUCGUAAAAAAAAAAAAAGUUUACAAUCACAGAUAACUAUUGCAUCAGUAUAAAACUAGUAAAUGAGACAGGAUCUUACGCUACACUCUUUUCCAGUAACCAAAUCCAUGGGAGUGCUUUCAACAAUUAUACCACCAUCUGGGAUAAAUUCCUGAAAGCUAGAGUUUUCUCUUAAGGCUGAUGGAACAUUUCCACUCUCAUUAUUUAUCUGACUCGGAGAUGAAGAAACCGUUUCAAGCCUUUCAGAACAUAUAACAUCACUGAUAAGGUUUCCCUCAUGCAUCAAUUUCUCUUCAUUCUCCACCUUUGCACCCACUAUUUCUCCUUCUAUAAUACGAUCAUCAGUUCCAGGAACCGGAUCAGUUACCAAAUGUCCCUCCGAUUCACGGUUAACAUUAUCGAGCUCAGAGAUCAAUGCCUCACCAUUAGCCUCCGCAACAGCACACAUAUCUUGCGGGUCACUUGAGGUUAUAGCAUCUGGCGGCCCCAUUCCUCUGUCCACAGUGGAUGCAUCAUUGGAGGCAUGAGCUUCUUCAAUAUGCAUUAUAUGAUCAUCAUCCGCAAUUGCAAGUGCAUUGUUAUCAACCAUCCUGUCCUUGGAAUCACCACCAGCAGAAGCUAAAUCUAUUGUACAAUCAUUUUCAGUGAAAUGUUUUGCCUCAUCAUUCAUCACAGAAGAACCAUCUCUAGGCUGCUGCAAAGGAUAUGUGUGUAUUGUCAUUCUUCCAGAGAAUAAAGCAGCUGGUAAUAUUAAAAGAAAUCUCACCAGCUGUAGAAUCAAUGGGCAUUACCUCAUAUUCACUAGAAGGUGCAGCUGAAGGCAUGGGAGUACCAACUCCAGCAUCUUUACCAUUAUUGAUUUCUGUCGGCAACAUCAUACAUGAUCCAUCAUUACCUGAGUGCUCCAGCAGAGGCAGGAAAGGUACAGAAUGCUUUUGAUCAUCACAUCCGUUCUUGCUCGUGCUGCUCUGCACCUCAGCUGUUAAAGAAACAUGAGAUGGUCCUUGCAUUUGACCAUCAAUAUUUUCUGGCAUGAUUGAGUAUAGCUUAGCUCAGCCAUUACCAUGUUAUUAGUUUUCCUAACAAAUUUCAAGUUUUCAGAGAUCAAAUGCUUUAGUUGCUUACCACAGGAAUAAUUUCGGGUAGUUUCAGGAUCAUAUCUUCGGGUGUGUAAGUCGUUCAUUAUGGAUGAUAUACCUGAAAGUAGAAACACAAGCAGAUUACAUAAACACUGGUUUGAGGAUGCCAGAAGUCAUUAAAGAAGUAUUACAGAUCAUAUUAUCAUCUUCAACAAGGAAUUGAUGUUUUACUAGUACCACAUAUUGAGAGGAACACUGAAAUAGUAAAGGUUCUGGUAAUAUGCAGAACAGUCAGAAUAAAAUGGAACUCAAGACAAGAGCCGAACACUUAAAGUUAGAACCCAGUAGCUUUAUGUUAAAUUAAAUAUAUAUUCUUUGGCAUUCCCAGUAUGCACAUGGUGCCUGAAGUCUAAAACUACCCAAACCCAAGCAGGUUUUACAUUAAUAAACCAGGUUUAUAUUGAGUAGCAACCAAGUAGAAUUCAACAAUGUCUCACUCGCCCUUUUUGGUCAAAGCUCCUUAAAUAUGUAUCUCUGUGAUGCUUGUGACUGUACCAACCAUUUCAGUGUUUGAGCUUAAUUUUCACCUAUUUCAAUUUCUACAAUGGCCCAGAAUAAUAUGUACAAGACCUUUCUACCCAUGUAAUCCCAGGCCUCACCUUCUUGACAUGCUCUAUUGGUAUUUUAUACAAUUCAACUAUUCUCUUGGUGUCACAUUGGCAAUCAACACUCCCAUGUCUAAACUAAACUAGCAACUUAUAUGCCAACUCUAAUUAACAAUAAAAUUUAAAGUUAUUAUAGUUUAAAUUUCAUGUAAAAGAAUGUGUCACAACUAUUAUUCCUAAAUCAUGAUGAGGCCAACCCCAAGAGAGAAGAUAUAUAGAGAUGCUCAUAGGUCUCUCAUCAAAAAGCAUAAAAAAAUUCACAUAUGGCAUGAAAAAGAGGGGACGCAAGUACAAUACAAUGGGGAAAAAAAUGAAAAUAUAGAUGUCCGACUGAAAUCACAUAUACGAUGAGCAAGCUUCUCAUGUUCUCCAUCACUCCAUCAGCUACAUAACAAAAA